rnacentral:lncRNA from 1 species
UAUAUUUUAUGUGUAAUAUAUUUUAUAUGUAAUAUUAUAAUAAUAUUGGCAAUCUUGAGCUCGAUGGAUAUUGUUCCAGAACCAUCUGUAUUUUUUCAUGUCUAUAAUAAUAAUUACUGAUGCGUCAUAGCAUCUCUGUUGGUCCUGAAAGAGAUGUAAGUAUUCCAAAAAACAGCGACUAUUUGAUUGACAAGAACUUGAUAAUUAAGUGGAACAAGACCAAAGUUAAUUAACUGAACCAGAGGCCAAAGCUGAAAAAUUAAAUUAUUAAAAAUAAAAAGCCGAUGGUCGCCAACAAUGCAGCAAUGAAUGGAGGCGCAAAUAGAAAUUGGUCACAAGCGACUUUUUUUACGGCAACGACACUGCCCUUGGAGCCGAAAAAUUUGUCGAGAACUCCAUACCAGCCUCUCACAGCAGCCAUGAAGAAACCAAUAGCAUAAAAUUGCGCCGUUCUAACAAAAUCCAGUUCGCUAAUUUUUCGCUUCUCGACCAAAUUUUGGGCGAUUUGAUCACCAACACCCAUCAGUGUGCCUUCAAAAUUUUUAAUUACACAUCAGAUUUUAUGACCGGACACCGACUGGGACAUCAUAGUGGUGGACCCAAAAACGAAGAACCAAUAUCAAGAUACGGAUACGGUUAGCUGUGGGACAAGGUUAUUUUUACUAUGACAGCUAAUGUUAGAAGAUCUUAAGGAGAAGCGGAGGCAGCAAGAAUGGAAACAACGGGAAGCUGAACUUCAGGAGGAGUUAGAACAAUUGAAGCGGGAAUGGAAACGUCAGGAAGCCGAAUUUUAGAAGAAGUUAGAACAAUUUAAAUCUACUGCCCUUUCCCGGAAACGAAUCGACCUGACCAAGAUGAAGAA